rnacentral:lncRNA from 1 species
ACACAUACACACACACACACACACACACACACACGGGGCUCGGACAUCACACAGUUAUCUGAUGUCCUCUCUUUCUGUACUCUCGGGUCUCUAAGUUUCUCACAAUCUGCAAGUUGAUUGAAAAACUCCCAAUUCUGUAUUCUUAUAUAUGAAGAAGUAAUACUGCAUCUGUAAGCCACACCCUUGUUUCCUCCUGCUUACUUUAUCUUCUCCCAUAUUGUUCUAGGAAGAUGUGUUUGCCUUCUCGGUCUGCCAAGAAAGAUAUAAAUAAGGACAACUGUACAAAAGAGAAAAUGAUGAGGGAGACCUUGGAGAUAGAGUUGGGGGCCUUGGAGGAUUCCCUACGUUCAUCAGAAAGAGCUCACUAAUGUGGAAAACCAAAGUGAGGAAAAUUGAUCGUUUGACACCUUGGAGAUUUUACCUGAGGGAAGAUAAUUUCUUCAAGCCUCUUGUGCCUGUGAGAGUCAAGCGCUGUUUUGCAGCUGCAGUACUGAUAAUGUAUUCACAUUCUCCCCAGAGCAAUGGAUUCUUUAACCUUAAUAUUGAGACUGGAAUGAGAUUCUGUCCUCUAGAGGUCACCAAUGCACCAGAUUUGAAGGCCAUGGAGGCUUCCAAAAUGCUCAGGAAGAGCCAUGUGUCCUGUUCACGUUUGAAUGAGAGAGAAAAUAAGAGUAUGGGAAUCGCUUCCUCUCUCGCCUUUCCUUGACACAACUUGCUCAGGAGGAAUGCAAAGGAUGGGUGGGAUCUUCCCCAACAUGAGAGUGAAAGGAAGCCACAUACCAAACAGAUGACGGUGGCUCAAGAAAUGCUGCAGCUGCUAAUUCCACCUCC